UAAACCAUGGAUUCGUUUCGACUUCACGGUUGCGUCUAAAACUUGAUAUUAGACUGCCUACGUAUCCUUAACAGAAUCAAACCGGCGUAGUUCGUUAUUUGAAUGAUUUUUGUGUUCAGACUUUUUAGGAAAAUGAGGAGCCAUUUGGAUUAGAUUUGAAUAAUUAAUGGGUAAUGUAAAUGACCCAUUAAUUUGAGUAUGACAAACUGGGAGGGUUUUUAGGAGCACGUCACAUCCACUUUUUUUCUCCACUUGAACUUCACGUGAAGUACUUUAGUUCAAAGUGGAAAGAGGUUUGCUUUUCCUUUCAUUAAAAAAAAAAAGGGACUCAAAGUCUAUCUCACAUGAGGUGUAUAGGUCAAAACUUAUUUAGAGAACCUUUCUUUUUAUUUUCAACACCAUUAAAAAAAAAAUGGGACUUUGAACCCACUUUGAUUUUUCAAACAUUCUGACAACAAACUUUUACUCCUCCAUUUUUUCUAUGUAACUCUUCCAAGUCCAAAGACUUUCUUUUCUACGUGUCUAAACUCCCACGUGAGAUGCAUCUUUAUCCAGGCCCCCUCUUGUGUAAUUGCUUCGGAAGUCCUCAUUUUCUUGACUCUAAACAUGUGGUUUUCAUCCAGCAGGAACCGUAAUACUUGGGCUUCAAAUAAUUUCGUAAUGUUUUGGAAUUCUUUUCAGGUUUGUCAACCGUUGAUUUCCAAAGGAAGAUGGGUAAGAUUGGUAGAGUUCAAACUCCUUUUGAUUUGUUCCAAUUUAUCUUCUUUUCCUCCCUAAACCGUCGAAGGAAAAUCAAGACGAAGAGGAGAAGAGAUCGAGCUGUCCUGGCAAUAGACCUCUCUUCCAUUCGAUUGUUUGGACAAGCGUUAAUUUAUGGCACCACAGG